rnacentral:SRP_RNA from 18 species
GACCUGGAUCUAUGCGACUCCAACGCCUAAACCUUGUCAGGACCGGAAGGUAGCAGCAACACAGGAUGCUUGUAGUAGGCGUAGUCUCCGGGUCGCCC